AUUGAACGCUGGCGGCAGGCCUAACACAUGCAAGUCGAACGAGUGGCGGACGGGUGAGUAAUGUCUGGGAAACUGCCUGAUGGAGGGGGCUAACUACUGGAAACGGUCGCUAAUACCGCAUACCAUCUGAUGUGCCCAGAUGGGAUUAGCUAGUAGGUGGGGUAAAGGCUCACCUAGGCGACGAUCCCUAGCUGGUCUGAGAGGAUGACCAGCCACACUGGACCUGAGAACCGGUCCAGACUCCGACGGGAGGCAGCAGUGGGGAAUAUUGGACAAGGGGCGCAAGCCUGAUGUAGCAAUGCCGCGUGUAUGAAGAAGGCCUUCGGGUGUUAAAGUACUUUCAGCGGGGAGGCGUUACCCGAAGAAGAAGCACCGGCUAACUCCGUGCCAGCCGCCGCGGUAAUUC
rnacentral:rRNA from 1 species